CCUACGGGGGGCAGCAGUGGGGAAUUUUGGACAAUGGGCGCAAGCCUGAUCCAGCAACGCCGCGUGAGUGAAGAAGGCCUUCGGGUUGUAAAGCUCUUUUGUCAGGGAAGAAACGGUGGGGGCUAAUAUCUCCUACUAAUGACGGUACCUGAAGAAUAAGCACCGGCUAACUACGUGCCAGCAGCCGCGGUAAUACGUAGGGUGCAAGCGUUAAUCGGAAUUACUGGGCGUAAAGCGUGCGCAGGCGGUUUUGUAAGUCUGUCGUGAAAGCCCCGGGCUCAACCUGGGAAUUGCGAUGGAGACUGCAAGGCUUGAAUCUGGCAGAGGGGGGUAGAAUUCCACGUGUAGCAGUGAAAUGCGUAGAGAUGUGGAGGAACACCGAUGGCGAAGGCAGCCCCCUGGGUCAAGAUUGACGCUCAUGCACGAAAGCGUGGGGAGCAAACAGGAUUAGAUACCCCGGUAGUCCACGCCCUAAACGAUGUCUACUAGUUGUCGGGUUUUAAUUAACUUGGUAACGCAGCUAACGCGUGAAGUAGACCGCCUGGGGAGUACGGUCGCAAGAUUAAAACNCAAAGGAAUUGACGG
rnacentral:rRNA from 1 species